GAAUAAACUUGGUGGACUGUCGCUGGCUCUCUCGAGGGCAUGUGCACGUCUGUCAUAUUUAUCAUUUCCACCUGUGCACCUUCUGUAGACCUGGAGAAAACCAUUUCUGAGGAAACUCAGGCGUUGGGAGUUGCAGGCGUAUACCAAUGUCAGCUCUCCUUGAGUAUCCAGGCCUAUGUAUUUUUAUACACUCCAAUGAAAUGUAAUAGAAUGUAAUCAAUGGGUCUUUGUACCUAUAAUAAAGUUUAUACAACUUUCAGCAACGGAUCUCUUGGCUCU
rnacentral:misc_RNA from 1 species